AUUUUUAUAGUGCUCCCUACACAGGAAAUAACCUUAAUCAUAUUUUUUAAAGGCAAUUAAGAGAUACCUAUUUAAAGGAUAAUAUUCUAAAAUAUAGAGAUUUUGGGAUCGCCUUAACCAUGCAUUAUUUGCCCUUAAUUUUCUUACCCUAGACAGUGAAGGCCAUUCGGCCGCAGACAGACACUGGCAUCCCUCGUCCAAUUCUGUUCACCCACCUGUAAUGUGGCGCGAUCCCCUUACAAAUAAAUGGAAAGGCCCAGAUCCUGUCCUCAUCUGGGGACGAGGCUCAGCUUGUGUUUUGGACCAAGAGCAAGCAGCCCCAAGAUGGUUACUAGAACGCCUGGUUAAACAGGUUAAUGACUUACCUCAACCCAGGGACGGAGGCCCUCCCCCUGAGGACAAAUUUUCCUCUUUUUCAGAUGCAGCCAACAAUCUGUGUGAGGAUCCUGCUUAAGGCACUUCUGCUGAACAGGUUUGUAUACGGAGGCCUUAGCCCUCCACCUUCCAACAUCAGGGAGUACCUUUUUGGCCCCCCCUGCGAAUGCAGGGGAGGAUCUUGGACUCAGGCUCCCACUAGUUGGACCCAGACUGCUGACUGCUUGACUAAGGUGGCUUACCUCCGUGCUGAGGUUGACCAUCAACUCGGAGGAUUUCAUCAGCCUGAAUGGGUAUGUGUUAACAAGCCAAAGAUUAUUCCCCCCAGUACAAGUAAAGCUCUCCAAAAUUGUUCUACAACUUGUAUGCAUACCCAGGCUAUGCAUGUCUCUCAUUAUGCGUCAGCCUCAAUUUGUGUUAACAAGCAGGGAGAACAAUUUUUUGAAGCCACCCUAACUAAAACUCAUGCAGCAGAGGGGACCACUAUUCACUAUACUCCCGUUCUCUUUGACCGGGGAGGAGAAGGCAUAUAUACCAAGUUACAGUCAGCUGGGUGCCAAGGCACUGUUGGUAAACCCUCCUGCUGGCCCAUUAAGGCCCCUACAGGGGUCUCUGAUGGUGGAGGACCCACUGAUGCUGUCAAGCAUCUUCAGAUAAUCAAACUUUUGAAACCCCAAAUCCCCGAGCUCACAUAUCAUCCCUUAAUGCUGCCUAAAUCCCAGCUCCCAGAUUUAGAUACCAAUACAUUAGAUAUUUUGGAAACUACCUUCUCCUUGCUUAAUAAUUCCAACCCCACCCUUGCUGGUGAUUGCUGGCUCUGCAUGACAACAGGGGCAAUCAUGCCUAUGGCAGUUCCUAUUAAUUCUAUCAUAGACAAUGAUAAUACAUGCAAACCUG
rnacentral:lncRNA from 1 species